rnacentral:rRNA from 1 species
UGGGGAAUAUUGCACAAUGGAGGGAACUCUGAUGCAGCGACGCCGCGUGAACGAAGAAGGCUUUCGAGUCGUAAAGUUCUUUUAUAUGGGAAGAUAAUGACGGUACCAUAAGAAAAAGCCCCGGCUAACUACGUGCCAGCAGCCGCGGUAAUACGUAGGGGGCUAGCGUUGUCCGGAAUCACUGGGCGUAAAGGGUUCGCAGGCGGAAAUGCAAGUCAGAUGUAAAAGGCAGUAGCUUAACUACUGUAAGCAUUUGAAACUGCAUAUCUUGAGAAGAGUAGAAGUAAGUGGAAUUUUUAGUGUAGCGGUGAAAUGCGUAGAUAUUAAAAAGAAUACCGGUGGCGAAGGCGACUUACUGGGCUCAUUCUGACGCUGAGGAACGAAAGCGUGGGUAGCAAACAGG